UACGUAGGGGGCAAGCGUUGUCCGGAAUUAUUGGGCGUAAAGAGCUCGUAGGCGGUUUGUCGCGUCUGCUGUGAAAACCUAAGGCUCAACCUUGGGCUUGCAGUGGGUACGCAGACUAGAGUGCGGUAGGGGUGACUGGAAUUCCUGGUGUAGCGGUGGAAUGCGCAGAUAUCAGGAGGAACACCGAUGGCGAAGGCAGGUCACUGGGCCGCAACUGACGCUGAGGAGCGAAAGCAUGGGGAGCGAACAGG
rnacentral:rRNA from 1 species